GUGAGGAAUAUUGGACAAUGGGCGCAAGCCUGAUCCAGCCAUGCCGCGUGCAGGAAGACGCAUCUAUGGUGUGUAAACUGCUUUUGUACGGGAAGAAACACUCCCUCGUGAGGGAGCUUGACGGUACCGUAAGAUUAAGGAUCGGCUAACUCCGUGCCAGCAGCCGCGGUAAUACGGAGGAUCCAAGCGUUAUCCGGAAUCAUUGGGUUUAAAGGGUCCGUAGGCGGUUUAAUAAGUCAGUGGUGAAAGCCCAUCGCUCAACGAUGGAACGGCCAUUGAUACUGUUAGACUUGAAUUACAAGGAAGUAACUAGAAUAUGUAGUGUAGCGGUGAAAUGCUUAGAUAUUACAUGGAAUACCAAUUGCGAAGGCAGGUUACUACUUGUGGAUUGACGCUGAUGGACGAAAGCGUGGGGAGCGAACAGGAUUAGAAACCCUGGUAGUCC
rnacentral:rRNA from 1 species